GACGAACGCUGGCGGCGUGCUUAACACAUGCAAGUCGAACGGAAAGGCUUCUUUCGGGGGGUACUCGAGUGGCGAACGGGUGAGUAACACGUGAGUAACCUGCCCUUGACUUUGGGAUAACUUCAGGAAACUGGGGCUAAUACCGGAUAGGAGCUCCUGCUGCAUGGUGGGGGUUGGAAAGUUUCGGCGGUUGGGGAUGGACUCGCGGCUUAUCAGCUUGUUGGUGGGGUAGUGGCUUACCAAGGCUUUGACGGGUAGCCGGCCUGAGAGGGUGACCGGCCACAUUGGGACUGAGAUACGGCCCAGACUCCUACGGGAGGCAGCAGUGGGGAAUAUUGCACAAUGGGUGGAGGCCUGAUGCAGCAACGCCGUGUGCGGGAUGACGGCCUUCGGGUUGGAAACCGCUUUCGCUCAUGACGAAGCUUUGUGUGACGGUAGUGGGUAAAGAAGCACCGGCUAACUACGUG
rnacentral:rRNA from 1 species